AAGUCGNNCGGCAGCACGGAGCUUGCUCUGGUGGCGAGUGGCGAACGGGUGAGUAAUGCGUCGGAACGUAUCCAAUAAUGGGGGAUAACGCAGCGAAAGCUGUGCUAAUACCGCAUACGCCCUCCGGGGGAAAGCAGGGGAUCUUUGGACCUUGCGUUAAUGGAGCGGCCGACGUCUGAUUAGCUAGUUGGUAGGGUAAAGGCCUACCAAGGCGACGAUCAGUAGCUGGUCUGAGAGGAUGAUCAGCCACACUGGGACUGAGACACGGCCCAGACUCCUACGGGAGGCAGCAGUGGGGAAUUUUGGACAAUGGGCGCAAGCCUGAUCCAGCCAUUCCGCGUGAGUGAAGAAGGCCUUCGGGUUGUAAAGCUCUUUCAGGAGGGAAGAAACGAUUGUGGCUAAUACCCAUGAUUAAUGACGGUACCUUCAGAAGAAGCACCGGCUAACUACGUGCCAGCAGCCGCGGUAAUACGUAGGGUGCGAGCGUUAAUCGGAAUUACUGGGCGUAAAGCGUGCGCAGGCGGUUUUUCAAGUCUGAUGUGAAAUCCCCGGGCUUAACCUGGGAACUGCGUUGGAAACUGAAAGACUAGAGUGCGGCAGAGGGGGGUAGAAUUCCACGUGUAGCAGUGAAAUGCGUAGAUAUGUGGAGGAAUACCGAUGGCGAAGGCAGCCCCCUGGGUCGACACUGACGCUCAUGCGCGAAAGCGUGGGUAGCAAACAGGAUUAGAUACCCUGGUAGUCCACGCCCUAAACGAUGUCAACUAGUUGUUGGGGANGGAGACCUCCUUAGUAACGCAGCUAACGCGUGAAGUUGACCGCCUGGGGAGUACGGUCGCAAGAUUAAAACUCAAAGGGNNUGACGGGGGCCCGCACAAGCGGUGGAUUAUGUGGAUUAAUUUCGAUGCANCGCGAAAAACCUUACCUACCCUUGACAUGUACGGAACUUG
rnacentral:rRNA from 1 species